rnacentral:rRNA from 1 species
GACGAACCGAGCGACCGUUGUUCGGAAUCACUGGGCUUAAAGGGCGCGUAGGCGGGUGCUCAAGUCCGUGGUGAAAUCCUCCGGCUCAACCGGAGAACUGCCUCGGAUACUGGGUGCCUCGAGGGUGGUAGGGGUAUGCGGAACUAUCGGUGGAGCGGUGAAAUGCGUUGAUAUCGAUAGGAACUCCGGUGGCGAAGGCGGCAUACUGGACCACCUCUGACGCUGAGGCGCGAAAGCGUGGGGAGCAAACAGG